UCAAUUAUUUCUUUUAAUAAAUCUUCGAAUCCUUCUUGUUACCUCACUUUCCUCUUUUUUUCUCCAUUUUCCAUUUUGUUAUUCACUGUCUUCACUGUCCUCACAGCUUCUAUAACCCAAAUGUCCAGUUUCCAUCUUGCACGUGUUCACAGUUCACAAUAGUCUCCUCUCCACUGCAGUUCUCGACUUGCACUCAUUUUCACGAUUCGUUAGGGAGUGUGCGACAGUAUCCUUCGUCGUUGGUCCCUCACCGGUUUUUUUGUGUCUGAUAGAGUAUGAUCCUCCAUUGUGCAAAAGAAGGUACUCGUUUCUUUCACAUUCUCCUAACAUUUUUUAUAAUCUUUUCUUUCAAGAUAAAUUGCAUAAAGUAUGUUUCUUCUGGAUCAUUGGUUGUUAUUCGGAAGUGGAGUUUAUUCAUGUGCUUUGGUUGUUGUGGUCUGUUUGCAAUUUGCUCUUCUUCAUGUAGAAUACACACCAUUGUCACCAUAAUUGUAAUGAUUGUUUUAGUAGGCUUUAAAAAAUGAACUUGUCUCAGUUGGAUCAUAGUUAUGACAACUUUUCCUAAUUAAAAUCUUCAAAAAGUUUAAAAGAUUGAAAUAGAAGUUGACUGAAAAGAUGAAAGGCUUGUAAGGAGAUUAAUAUUUUAUUAUAAAUGAAGAUCUAUUUAAGAUAACAAAAAAAAAGAAGGAAAACUAAAACAUGCAUUACUUUCAAAUGUCUAAUAAACAUUUUUUACUCAAUAUAGUUUCAAUGUUUAUUAGACAGAAUUAAUGUAAUUCUUUCCAUUAAAUACAUGCAUUCCCAGCUCCAUUAUUAUUCCUAGUUGGCAUAAGGUUUUAGGAUUUGUGAGUUCUGCUGUAUUGUUCACAUAACAGUAAUGUAAUCAGAAAAAAAAAAUGUCAUCUAUCUCAAUUAAUGAUGCACAUAGAUAGUUUUCGACAAUCAAAAGAAAAUUGAAGUCUCAAUUAUGAAACUUGUCCAUUACUCUGACGUUGAGUUUCUUGACUUGGAAGGAAUUUAUGGAAUAUUCAAAGCGUGUGAUUCUUGAAGAAAUUGGAAUUUGAUGCAGCACGCAAUAAAACUAUUUUAAUUCUAUCUCAUGUACUUCCUUACUUGAAGAACUUAGAAGAAUUGAAUGUGAAAAAAUCCGAUGUAAUGAAAAUAAUAUUCGACAUUGAUGAGAGUGAGGUCAAGACGAAGGGAGUAGUUUUUGGUUUGAAAAAUUUUACUUUAAAAAACUUGUCAAAUUCCAAACAUGUAUGGAAGGAAAACUCAACAGGAAUUAUCAGCUUUCAUAAUUUGCAAGUGGCUGUUAAUGGUUGUGAAAGUUUGAUAACAUUGUUCUCUUCAUCCCUAGCAAGAAAUCUCAGGAAGCUUGAGACACUUCAUAUAAACGAGUGUGGAAAACUGGUAGAAAAAUAGUGGAAAAGGAGGAUGGAAUGGAACAUGGAACCAAAAUAAUGUUUGAACUCCCUUGUUUGUCGAGUCUAUGUCUUGGAAACAUGCCACUCUUGAGUUGCUUUUAUCCUGGAAAGCAUGAUCUGGAUUGUCUGUUAUUAGAAAUCUUAUUUGUGUGUUAUUGUCCUAAAUUGAAGCUAUUCACAUUAGACUUUGAUGAAAAUCAGAAAGGACCUAUACAGGCUCAAGUUAGCCCACUGUAACAACCUAUGUUUUCAGUUGAAAAGAUUUCUACCAAAAUAAAGGCUUUGGCACUCAAUGAAGAAAACAUUAUGUUAUUUAGAGAAGUAGAGUUGCCACAAGACAUUCUUUGCAAUAUAACUUAUCUUUCGUUGUGCUUUGAGGUGAUGAAAAUGAGAAAGAUAGUUUGCCUUUUGACUUCUUUCACAAGCUACCCAAUUUAUUCGGUCUUAUGAUACAAAACUACUUUGGUUUGUGAGAGAUAUUUCCCUCUCAAACACAUCAAGUUCACGACAGAGGACUUGCGGGAUUGAAACAAUUACUCUUAAUAGAUCUAAAAGAGUUAGAGUUGGUGGGCUUAGAACACCCUUAGGUACAACCGUACUCUGAAAAGCUUGAAGUUUUAAAGCUUGAGAAUUGCCCUCAGUUACAAAAAUUAGUUUAUUGUGUAGUGUCUUUCAUAACUCUGUGAAAGGAUGGAGUAUUUAUUCACAUUUGCAACUGUCAAUCUUUUGGAGUGAUGGAGGUGCAGACUCAGAGGGAGAUUUUUGAUACAGAGAAGAGUGACACUCUAGAUUCAAAGUCCAAUGACAGAAGGAACAAAAUGAUGUUUUUUGGUGUGAUCUAUGUGGUCAAUUUCAAGAUAAAACUUUUGUUGUUGUUAGAAUUAAUGAGCUUUGUUUCUCAUCACCAAGACGGGGUGAAUUGGUGUUUUUAUCAAAAUUAAUGUUUUUCAAAUCUUUUUCGCAAAUGAUAUGAUUCUUUAAACAUUUCUUGGACAAUAAGUAAUAUGCAUGCAAUGUAACAAUAUGCUUAAUCAAUUAAUGACAGUAUGUAAUCGAUUAAUGCAGAGAGAUAGGGAGAAGAAAAAUCAAACUCUGAUUUCAUACUAGUUCCAGUUUCCUUCCAAUCAACCCGAGAUUGAAAGCCCAUUGCACCAUAGAGAUAUGAGUUUUUACAACAAGGUCUUUACAGUGACCAACCUGUCAAAAUGUAAACAACCUUUCUAACUCACUAAUCUAAUAUAACUAAUACAAAAACCUGCAGUAAGAACAAUCCUCUCCUAUAGUCACCCCUUUGAGAAC